AGAUCAGCACUGCCCUCGAAAGGAGUGGUCUGUACAGGCAAAAAGCCUAGUGGGAAGGAGCACCUGCCAAGGACCUGGGCUGCCACACUGCUCAGUCUGAGCGGUAAAGCAGCUCACUCCCAGCAUGCGGAAAUGAAGUGAGGAAUCCAACCACUCACUGAUGCGGCUUGUGCACUCAAACGCCAGGCACUGUUCUAAACAUGUUAUGCAUAUUAUCUUACUUUAUGUAUAUUACAACCUUAUGGGAAGAAAUUGCUAUUGGGGCUGCAUUUUAACAAUGAGGAAACUCAUGUGUAAAGAAGUUAAGUAACUAACUCAUGGUCAUACAGCUAGUACGAAGCGAACAGGGUAAAAAUGUCAGCGUUCCCAAACUCUAGACUCUGUGAUCUUAGAACAUCACUGUUUCCCUGCACUGCUCUGAACUGCCCCGUGGAACGACACUGGCAAUUAGCACCAAACACGCUGCCUCUGCCAAGCCUUGCACGCAGUUGUGCAGCUGCUCUUGUGGACGACUCUCCCCUCAGCUUCAUUGUUCCAGAGUGCUAAGAAUCUUCAGAAAACCUAUGUACCAAAGACGACAAUGGAGAAAUUUCUCAUUUGAGUUUCUGUCAUCUCUGUUUAUCUUUUAGUAUAGUGUUGUGAGAUAAUCACAUAUAUAAACUUAAGGUAAGUUUAAACGUGGAUGUUUGCUGCCAGAGUUGGUCAAACGACCAUCAGUUGACAGGAAUUCCGGGUCCUCUGAGAGUGGCGCCCUCCCGUGCACUGCUCCCCCAGGAGUGCUGCUUCUGCACAGACGAACAGCUGGUCAGACCCUUUGCGUCUGGAAGACUCUGGAGAUUUCUGCGAGUCUGGUUUGUACAGGAGGUGAGUGCUUCCCAAACCGUUAGCCUCUCUGCAAAGUACCAAUGCUCAUCAUUUUUUGCUUUCUUUUUCCUUUUCUUCCUUUUUUUUCUGAAUUUAGGGAGAAAUAGAAGCACAAUACAUAAAUAGAAACUUUCACAAGCCUGGUUUUUUGCCAAAACAAUCACUUUGUUUAAGAUAGGCCUUUUAAUAGUAUCUAAAAAAUAGAGUACUUUCAAGUGGGGUUUUUAAAAUUCCAAAUGUGUGAAGUUCUAAGGAGACAAGUCCACUUGUGACAGUAUUUCUCACACCUUGGAUCAGUAGUAAGCUGUGUGUUUUGGAAUACCAUAUUUUGAGAAAUUUCUGACUUUCAUCAUUUGGAUAAGAGGCAAUUUUUGUUCCAUUCAUACUGAACUUUGGAUAACAGGCAAUUUAUACUCCAUUCAUACUGAAGGUAAGAGAUUUAUUGUAGAUGAACUAAAGUUGGUGUGGUCCUCCCAUAGAUAAUGCCUUUUGUAGUCCAUAACCAGCAAUACUGACAAACAAAUAAUUGAGUCUUUAAAGACAACUUAAAAAGGAAAUAUGCUCCUGCUAUUGCUAAAGCAUUCCCGUGUAAGUCUUCUAUCUGUUCGUCCUAUUUGUUUCCACAGUUUAAUCCUUAUAUUAUAUUUUGUUAUAAUUAUAUAGAACAAAGUUAAAAGUUAAAAGUUCCUGACAUCCUUUGCACACUGAUCUAGUACCCUAUGUACCCAUUAUCUGAUUUGCUUACUAAGAACAAGAGUAUUCAUGGUCUUGUAUGACACCUGACAUAAAGCUCAAUAAAAUUUACUUCAUCUGUAAAAAAAAAAAAAAAAAAAA
rnacentral:lncRNA from 1 species